rnacentral:rRNA from 1 species
CAGUAGCCGCGGGAAAACGUAGGUGGCAAGCGUUGUCCGGAAUUAUUGGGCGUAAAGGGCUCGCAGGCGGUUUCUUAAGUCUGAUGUGAAAGCCCCCGGCUCAACCGGGGAGGGUCAUUGGAAACUGGGAAACUUGAGUGCAGAAGAGGAGAGUGGAAUUCCACGUGUAGCGGUGAAAUGCGUAGAGAUGUGGAGGAACACCAGUGGCGAAGGCGACUCUCUGGUCUGUAACUGACGCUGAGGAGCGAAAGCGUGGGGAGCGAACAGGAUUAGAUACCCCUGUAGUCCCUGUCUCUUAUAA